UCUUGUUCAGUGAUUGGAUGUCUGCUGAACCUAUUACACGCCCUUUGAUCAAAACAGCAAACUGGGCUGAGCUACAGAGAGAAACAGCUUUAGCAGUGUACAGUCCAUACCGGUUAUUCUGCAUUGGCAACUUCGGGGCCGACAGAUACAAGUGAUGCUGAUCUAAGUAAGUCCCAGCUCGCUCAUCUCUACAGGGAAGAUGCAGAUUGUGCUCAGGUAAGUAGUUGUAGUAGUUCAGUCGCUCAGUGGUGUCCAACUCUUUGUGACCCCAUGAAACGCAGCACACCAGGCCUCCCUG
rnacentral:lncRNA from 1 species